rnacentral:rRNA from 1 species
CCUACGGGUGGCUGCAGUGGGGAAUAUUGCACAAUGGGCGCAAGCCUGAUGCAGCCAUGCCGCGUGUGUGAAGAAGGCCUUCGGGUUAUAAAGCACUUUCAGCGGGGAGGAAGGCGGUGAGGUUAAUAACCUCAUCGAUUGACGUUACCCGCAGAAGAAGCACCGGCUAACUCCGUGCCAGCAGCCGCGGUAAUACGGAGGGUGCAAGCGUUAAUCGGAAUUACUGGGCGUAAAGCGCACGCAGGCGGUCUGUCAAGUCGGAUGUGAAAUCCCCGGGCUCAACCUGGGAACUGCAUUCGAAACUGGCAGGCUAGAGUCUUGUAGAGGGGGGUAGAAUUCCAGGUGUAGCGGUGAAAUGCGUAGAGAUCUGGAGGAAUACCGGUGGCGAAGGCGGCCCCCUGGACAAAGACUGACGCUCAGGUGCGAAAGCGUGGGGAGCAAACAGGAUUAGAUACCCCGGUAGUC